GUGGGGAAUUUUGGACAAUGGGCGAAAGCCUGAUCCAGCCAUGCCGCGUGCAGGAUGAAGGCCUUCGGGUUGUAAACUGCUUUUGUACGGAACGAAAAGACUCCUUCUAAUAAAGGGGGUCCAUGACGGUACCGUAAGAAUAAGCACCGGCUAACUACGUGCCAGCAGCCGCGGUAAUACGUAGGGUGCCAGCGUUAAUCGGAAUUACUGGGCGUAAAGCGUGCGCAGGCGGUUUUGUAAGACAGGCGUGAAAGCCCCGGGCUCAACCUGGGAAUUGCGCUUGUGACUGCAAGGCUGGAGUGCGGCAGAGGGGGAUGGAAUUCCGCGUGUAGCAGUGAAAUGCGUAGAUAUGCGGAGGAACACCGAUGGCGAAGGCAAUCCCCUGGGCCUGCACUGACGCUCAUGCACGAAAGCGUGGGGAGCAAACAGGAUUAGAAACCCGAGUAGUCC
rnacentral:rRNA from 1 species